GACGAACGCUGGCGGCGUGCCUAAUACAUGCAAGUCGAGCGGACUAAUGGGAGCUUGCUCCCGUUAGUUAGCGGCGGACGGGUGAGUAACACGUGGGCAACCUACCUGUAAGACUGGGAUAACUUCGGGAAACCGGAGCUAAUACCGGAUGACAUAAAGGAACUCCUGUUCCUUUAUUGAAAGAUGGCUUCGGCUAUCACUUACAUAUGGGCCCGCGGCGCAUGAGCUAGUUGGUGAGGUAACGGCUCACCAAGGCGACGAUGCGUAGCCGACCUGAGAGGGUGAUCGGCCACACUGGGACUGAGACACGGCCCAGACUCCUACGGGAGGCAGCAGUAGGGAAUCUUCCGCAAUGGACGAAAGUCUGACGGAGCAACGCCGCGUGAGCGAUGAAGGCCUUCGGGUUGUAAAGCUCUGUUGUUAGGGAAGAAUAAGUGCUAGUUGAAUAAGCUGGCACCUUGACGGUACCUAACCAGAAAGCCACGGCUAACUACGUGCCAGCCGCCGCGGUAACAC
rnacentral:rRNA from 1 species